rnacentral:rRNA from 1 species
GACGAACGCUGGCGGCGUGCUUAACACAUGCAAGUCGAGCGGUAAGGCCCUUUCGGGGGUACACAAGCGGCGAACGGGUGAGUAACACGUGGGUGACCUGCCCUCAGCUCUGGGAUAAGCCUGGGAAACCGGGUCUAAUACCGGAUAUGACUCCAUGACGCAUGUUGUGGGGUGGAAAGCCUUGUGCGGCUGAGGAUGGGGCCCGCGGCCUAUCAGCUUGUUGGUGGGGUGAUGGCCUACCAAGGCGACGACGGGUAGCCGGCCUGAGAGGGCGACCGGCCACACUGGGACUGAGACACGGCCCAGACUCCUACGGGAGGCAGC